CUCAGAUUGAACGCUGGCGGCAUGCCUUACACAUGCAAGUCGAACGGUAGAGUAGCAAUACUCGAGAGUGGCGAACGGGUGAGUAACAUAUCGGAACGUGCCCAAUCGUGGGGGAUAACGUAGAGAAAUUUACGCUAAUACCGCAUACGAUCUAAGGAUGAAAGCGGGGGAUCGCAAGACCUCGCGCGAUUGGAGCGGCUGAUAUCAGAUUAGGUUGUUGGUGAGGUAAAAGCUCACCAAGCCGACGAUCUGUAGCUGGUUUGAGAGAACGACCAGCCACACUGGGACUGAGACACGGCCCAGACUCCUACGGGAGGCAGCAGUGGGGAAUUUUGGACAAUGGGCGAAAGCCUGAUCCAGCAAUGCCGCGUGCAGGAAGAAGGCCUUCGGGUUGUAAACUGCUUUUGUACGGAACGAAACGGUCCGCUUUAAUACAGUGGGCUAAUGACGGUACCGUAAGAAUAAGCACCGGCUAACUACGUG
rnacentral:rRNA from 1 species